GGAUUGUGGCUCAGUGGUAGAGUGCUUGCCUAACACAUAUGGGGUACUGGGUUCAAUCCUCAGCACCA
rnacentral:tRNA from 1 species